rnacentral:lncRNA from 1 species
AGUGCUGCCUGGGAGCUCAGCCAACUGACAUUCCUUCUGGGCUUUCCAGGUUCUGGAUCUUGGCAGAGUCCUUAGUGGAGAGUAGCGACAGCCAAGCAGAGAGGGUCUGCAGAGGGUAGAGUGGCGUGGAGGGUGGGACAGGGCUGGCCUAAAAAUCUCAAACCCAAAGGGCCCCAGAACUCCGAGAGGGCGGCAGGAUCCCAACCUUUGAGAGACGCUCCUCCCCCGCCCUUUCUCAGUUAGGUAAACUGAGCCACAGCCUCUUCCAGAGCCCUGGGGUGAGCUUAUAUUCCCUUCUCUGAGCCAGGCUUUUCGAUAUGUGAAAUGAGAUCACGAGCCCUGUUGGAACUUUGUUCGUCCAGUCAAUAUAUUGAUUGCAUUCUAAAUGGGCCUGCGCUGAGUGUGUCUUAUUCUCAAGUUUAUUGUGGAGGAAAUCAAACGACAGGAUGAGCUAGCAAGCCCUCGGCGUGCUUUUAAACAUGCUAUAAAUGCGAGCUCUUAUGAAAGUGGAACCUUAUAUAAUUGUAGUUGGUUUUUUAUCAAAAAAGAGGUUAAGCUUUUCGGAUUUCCAGCCUCGUGUCCCACCCAUCCCCCGGGGCCAGAUUUCUUGUAAAUGGGUCCAAUUAGUCACUGGAAGAGUUGAGACUAGGACUGACUCAGGGUGAACAGAUGAUGGUAGUAUUGCUCUCCUUAUGCUGUGGAUCUUUAAGAUUCCUUCAUGAACCUGUAAUUUGUAGUUGCUCUCUGGAUCUCUGGCAGGUUCAGGUUGUAUGUCAAUUUAGUAAUUAAUUUGGAAAAUUGGAAAUUGUUAAUGUUGAAAAUGGAACACUUGGCAGCUGCUUCCCUCCCCGCACCCUCCAACGGUUGAUUAAAAAAAAUAGUAAGGAUGAGGAAGAAGCUUGGCAUAUCCACAUUGCUUCCCCUCUUCAUUCAGGUUGUUUGGGUUUCGGGCAAAUGUUACAGUAUGUUUCUUUUCUAGUAGUGUAAAACAUACGAGAUAAUUGAUAUGGGUGAGACAAUGUUCCAAGCCUCACAGUCAAGUCUGUGGGGUCCUUUGAAAGACGCUGCACCACGGAGACCCUGUGGGUUCUCUUCUCUAGGAUCUCACGGUAUUGAAGGAAGAAGAAUGUGGGGGUGGCAUGGUACUGGUAGAGUUAAAUCAACAGUAAACGAGGGGCUCCCAGGUCAUCUCCUUUAUCCUAUUAAAGCCUCUGGGAACUUU